UUGCAUUUUGACUCGGAAAACGUUGGUGACCACUGCUCUAGGGUGUCUAUUAUCUCAUCUACCGGUCAGCCGGCCAGAAUUCCUACCCUUUCUGCAUACAAAUAGCUGUCAGUAAGCCUCGCUUUAGGAAAGGAAUGACAAUGCUGGUUUAGAUCGGUGGCGACUCACCGGUGAGGUGGCUUUUCAUUCCAUAAAUUCCGCAUUUGCAGGUGCUGGUUCUUAACUCUUCUUGAACUGUACUGUUGGUUAAGGGCUUUUAAGUAAGCAUUUCACGCACUGCCCUCAUGUGGUCAUAAGGUUGGGGAGAUCCUGCUAUGGUGACCGGCAGACUCUAUCCCUGGAGAGAACAUUACGAAACGGACAAACGUGAAAACUACUCAUGGACCUGAGCCCUAGGACCAUGCCCCAGGACUACCUGACAUG